rnacentral:lncRNA from 1 species
UGGAGGGAGAGUAGCGGUGGAGGGGGGUCCAACUGUGUUUGAUGUUCUGGGGAGUGCGAGGGACCCGCUUGGUCGGGGUGAGGGAGGCGGUGUGUGUGGAGUGCCCUUGGUUGGGAAUGCUACGCAUGCGGAGGUGGCGUGCAUUGGAGUUGUGUCCCGGACGAUUGAGGGGGGAAUGGAGGAGCAUGAGCGAGAUGUUGAGCUGGGCGGCUUGAGCGCGGCGCUGGCUAUUGAAGCGUAUAGUCGGAGUGUUGCCGUGGAUUGGAGGGGGGUUGGGAGGAUCAGGCGGGUUGGAGGCCAUACGCAGCCGAUCGUUGCGGAGUCUCUGGAAGUCGUCCGGGGGAGGAGUGGGGAGAACUUGAUUAAUGACAGAACGGCGUGGGGUCCUCCUCUUGCGUGGAGGUGUCUGGUGGCCAAGGAUCGAGGCUCUCGUGA